rnacentral:rRNA from 1 species
GACGAACGCUGGCGGCGUGCUUAACACAUGCAAGUCGAACGAUGAGGCUUGGUACUUGUAUCGGGUGGAUUAGUGGCGAACGGGUGAGUAAUACGUGAGUAACCUGCCCCCUUCUUUGGGAUAAGCCUCGGAAACGGGUCUAAUACUGGAUAUUCUGCAAUUCUCGCAUGGGGGUUGUUGGAAAGGUUUUUCUGGUGGGGGAUGGGCUCACGGCCUAUCAGUUUGUUGGUGGGGUGAUGGCCUACCAAGACGACGACGGGUAGCCGGCCUGAGAGGGUGACCGGGCCACAUUGGGACUGAGAUACGGCCCAG